CAGGAGAAUCGCUUAAACCCAGGAGGUGGAGGUUGCAGUGAGCCAAGAUCACGCCACUGCACUCCAGCCUGGACAACAGAGCAAGACUGUCUCAAAAAAGGAAAAAACAAAACAUCAGAUCAUAAAUUGAACUUAUAAUUUUUUUGCUUUUUUUUAGACGGAGUCUCGCUCUGUCGCCAGGCUGGAGUGCAGUGGCGCAAGCUCCGACUCCCGGGUUCAAGUGAUUCUCCUGCCUCAGCCUCCCAAGUAGCUGGGAUUACUUGUGCACGCCACCACGCCCAGAUAAUUUUUGUAUUUUUAGUAGAGAUGGGUUUUCACCAUGUUGGCCAGGAUGGUCUCAAUCUCCUGACCUUGUGAUCUGCCCGCCUUGGCCUCCCAAAGUGCUGGAAUUACAGGUGUGAGCCACUGUGCCUGGCUUAAACUUGUUAUUACAUAAUAUUUUUUUAAAAGGCCGGGUACAGUGGCUCAUGCCUGUAAUUGCAGCACUUUGGGAGGCCGAGGCAGGCAGAUCACUUGAGGCCAAGAGUUUGAGACCAGCCUGGCCAACAUGGUGAAACUCCGUCUCUACUAAAAAUACAAAAAAUUAGCCGGUGUGGUGCCGCAAGCCUGUAAUCGCAGCUACUUGGGAGGCUGAGGCAGGAGAAUUGCUUGAACCUGGGAGGCAGACGUGCAGUGAGCCAAGAUUGCACCACUGCACUCUAGCCUAGGAGACUCCGUCUCAAAAAAAAAACAAAGAAAAAGCUCUUGGACACAUUUGCACAUAGACAUACACACAGCACCAAUUUACAUCUGCCAAAUUAAUACUGCUUUAUAAUAUCCUCUAGUAGUUUGUAAGAUUUUUGUUCUAGGCUUUCUCUCUCCCCAUGUGUUCUAUAAUAAAUUGAAGCUGCAAAUUAAGCCGAUCCCUCCAGAAUAUCCAGUUUCCAGUUAGCCUGUUUAUGCCCUUUUGACUGUGCCUCUGGGGGCACUAGCAGAGUCUGCACUCUUACAGAGAGAACACCUUAGAGCCUGGAUAGCCUUGUUCCAGAAGCGACUUUUCCAAUGGAGCAAAUGUCCAUGAGGCUCUGGAUAAAGGAACUGAGAUGUCAGUGUAAAUGGCUGCUGUGGGCUGGGCCCCAAGCUCCCCAGGGUGAAGGGGCCAGCACAGUCCAUUGAAAUGAAUUCCCAAGGCCAGCCCUUGGGUAUAGUGGGGGGAAACCCUGUGGCUUUCCUCUUCCUUUCUCUUUAUCAGCUCAGGCGCCCCAUUGAAGUGGGAAAGGAGAGAGGGAGAAGUUAGAAAACUCCAUGAGAAGAGGCUAGGGUUGGUGGCUCACGCCUGUAAUCCCAGCACUUUGGGAGGCCGAGGUGGGCAGAUCACCUGAGGUCAGGAGGUCCAGACCAGCCUGGCCAAGAUAGUGAAACCCCAUCUCUACUAAAAAUACAAAAACUAGCUGGGCGUGGUGGCGGGUGCCUGUUAAUCCCAGCUUCUCAGGAGACUGAGGCAUGAGAAUUGCUUGAACCCUGGAGGUGGAGGUUGCAGUUAGCCAAGAUCGUGCCACUGUGCUCCAGUCUGGACAAUAGAGCUAGAGACCCCUUCUCAAAAAAAAAAAAAAAAAAAAGGGAAGGCUGGCAGAGGGUGGAUGUUCAGGACCCUGGACUCACACAAAAGUGGCCUCAACUCAGUACUCUCCUUUCCCAAAACAACAAAAUCGAACUAGGAGCUGUGUCUUUUACAUUCCCAAGUCCCAAAGUUAGGGGAGAUAGUAGAGCAGAGUGGUGAUAAGCCCAGGUUUUGGGGUUAGAUGAUGUCAAGAUUGAGAAUUGACUGAGUGUGGUGGACUGCAACUGUCAUCCCAGUGCUUUGGGAGGCGGAGGUGGGAGGAUCACUUGGAAUUCAAGGUCAGCCUGGGCAACAUAGCAAGAUCCCAUGUCUACAAGAACAAACAAAUUAGCUGGGCAUGGUGGUGUACCUGUAGUCCCAGCUACUCAGGAGGCUGAGGCAGGAGGAUCACUUGAGCCCAGGAGUUUGAGACUGCAGUGAGCUAUGAUCGCGUCACUGCACUCCAGCCUGGGCGACAGAGACCUUGUUUAUUAAAAAAAAAAAAAAGAAAAGAAAAGAAAAAGGGCCGGGCACAGUGGCUUAUGUGUAUAAUCUCAGCAUUUUGGGAGGCUGAGGUGGGAGGACCACUUGAGCCCAGGAGUUCCAGAUCAGCCUGGGCAACAUAGGAGACCCCCAAAAUAAGAAAAAGUUAGCUGGGCAUAGUGGCACGCUCCUGUGGUCCCAGCUACUCAGGAGGCUGAGGUGGGAGGAUCGUUUAAGUCCAGGGAGGUUGAGGCUGCCAUGAGCCAUGAUCACACCACUGCACUCUAGCCUGGGCAAGAGUGAGACCCUGUCUCUAAAAAAAAAAAAAAAAAGAAGAGAGUGAGAGGGCUGGGCACAGUGGCUCACGCCUGUAAUCCCAGCACUUUGGGAGGCAAAGACAGGUGGAUCACCUGAGGUCAGGAGUUUGAGACCAGCCUGACCAACAUGGAUGGAGAAACCCUGCCUCUAUGAAAAAUAAAAUAAAAUAAUUAGCUGGGCCUGGUGGCAGGUGCCUGUAAUUCCAGCUACUCAGGAGGCUGAGGCAGGAGAACUGCGUGAACCCAGGAGGCAGAGGUUGCAGUGAGCUGAGAUCCCGCCAUAGCACUCCAGCCUGAGUGACAAGAGCAAAACUCUGUUGCAAAAAAAGAAAAAGAGAGAGAGAAUGGCCUUUAUCACUUACCAGCUAUGUGACCUCAGUCAGUGCUGGUCGAGUCCCAUCCUGUUUCCACUGCGCCCUAGUUUCUUGCUGUGUAAAAUGGGUUCACCGUAGGACCUGACAGGAUUGUUGUGAGGACUGGAUGAAACAUACAAGGCAAGUGCUCAGCACAAUGACUGGGCGGUAGGUUGUGUGAGCUAGCAGUGUAAUCAAACACAUCAAAACCGCAGGACAGGGCUUACUUCCAUUUUUCAUUCUCAGCAAGUGCAAAGGGGCUAUCUCGGCUCUACGUCCUACUAAAAUCCAACACAGGUUUGGGGUCUCUAGAUUACCGCUCUGGCUUGCCUGAUUAGGACAACCAGUGCUGGAAAAGAGGCCCCUCAUAGGGAUGUCCUGCUGGGAUUUUCCUAGUCCACUUGGGUUCACACACGCUAACGGUAAUCCAGUGAGGCUCAUUAGCAUCCCUUACCUCCCUUCCCACGAGAAUGUUAUGUCAGAAGGUGAAAAGGAAACUUUUUAAAGAGUUAACCAAAAAGGCAGCCCUCUCCUGUGGGCCAUAACGGAGCUAACCGAGAAGGAGGAAGGGAUGGUGUGGAUGAUUUCUUGGGGGGACUGUUCUGUUUUUGAAAGCGGUGGAGCAUUCUGAUUGACAAUGGUGAGGGGCAGAGGGGCCGCAGUGAGAAGAAAAGGACAGGAGUGAGCCGUAGCAUUACUCUAGCCAAACAGAGCCAGGAAUCUCGCCAACGAGAAAGUGCAGGAUUGGCAGCAACCGAGAGAUCCCGCAUGGACUUUUAGGAAAGAUUCUAGGCCACAGCACGGGGCCUCCUCCGUCUCAGCCAGGAUAAUUCUGGCAUCAGCCCCCGGCCCAGGCGUGUUCCCACAUAAUUGAAGUCGAAUGUGCUGGGGGAGAGGCCUCCGCAUUCCUCCUGGCUGUGGAAUCCUCAGUGCCCUGCAGUUGGCCCUGUUUGGGAUCAAAGCCAGUUCGUGUUGAUUUUCCGCAGCAUGGAAACAAAUGCGACGAAGCUGUUUUCCUGAGGCAGGCAUUUUGAAAAGAGGAUCUUAAUUUUUUUCCCCAAGGACAGGUGGGGUGGGGAGGUGGGGGAGUGCCACGUGGCUCCUCUCUUGCUGUCCCUUUUGCAAACAGUUGGGCUCAUAGUGUCUGCAUGAGCAGAAACUGAUCAGUUAGAAUAUGAGUGAAUACAGCUACAGCUAAGGUUGCUUCUAUCACAAAAGAUAAUUCCUAAAAAAUGCUGCCGGAAGACCCUCUGGCUGCGUGUGAUAAGUCACAAUUUGGUUGCUCUCUGUUGGAGUGUUUCCAAGAUAGCAACUCUCCUUUUUCCUCCUAAAAUUUUCUGCUUACAUGUCUUAACUUCUAGGUCUUUCUCUGUAAUCUGUUGUGCCUGUAAAAUUAAUUCCUGUCCCUUCUUUUUAGUUAGCACUGAAGCCUUUUAGUGCUAAGCAUUAUGCUAAUGAUGUAAACUGAUACAGGCGAGUUUCUUAAGUUGUGGAAACAUCUUUAUUUAUUUAUUUUUUUUAGACAGAGUCUCGCUCAGCCGCCCAGGCUGGAGUGCAGUGGCGUGAUCUCGGCUCACUGCAACCACCGUCUCUCUGGUUCAAGUGAUUUUCCCGUCUCAGCCUCCUGAGUAGCUGGGAUUACAGGCACCUGACAUCAUGCCCGGCUAAUUUUUUGUAUUUUAGUAGAGACAGGGUUUUGCCAUGUUGGCCAGGCUGGUCUCAAACUCCUGACCUCAGGUGAUCCGCCCGCCUCAGCCUCACAAAGUGCUGGGAUUACAGGCAUGAGCCACCGCACCCGGCCGGAAACAUCUCAUUCUUUUACAGGGGACUUGAGUUCUCCCAGUUCUCUAGGGAAAACCUGAACUUUUGCCUAUUGGGCCAUAAUCAAGGGAUUGAGAAUUAGAACCAGGAGUUGAUAUAGCUGGGAGAGCAGUGGUGCGAUCAUAGCUCACUGCAAGCUCGAACUCCUGGGCUCCAGAGAUCCUCCUGCCUUAGCCUCCUGAGUAGCUGGGACUACAGGCAUGCGCCACCCCUGGCUAAUUGUUUUUAAUUUUUAGUAGAGACAAGGUCUAUGUUGCCCAGGCUGGUCUUGAACUCCCAGCCUCAAGCGAUCCUCUUAUCUCGGCCUCCCAGAGUGUUGGGAUGACAGGUGUGAGCCACAGCACCUAGCCUGGGCUCUUCCUUUUUAAAUUAGGAAACACAUGUACCAGGAAAUCUGGUCUGGAACCUGCUGCUUCUUCUGGGCAAAAAAAAUGGCAGAAGACAUCCUCACAGAGGCCAAGUUGGAACUGUUUUUCCUAUUUGGCAUUUAUGCUUAGUGCUGUAGAUUUACUUUUACUUUUUUUUUUUUUUUUUUUUUUUGAGAUGGAGUUUCACUCUUGUUGCCCAGGCUGGAGUGCAAUGGCGCGAUCUCUGGCUCACCACAACAUCUGCCUCCUGGGUUCAAGCGGUUCUCCUGCCUCAGCCUCACGAGUAGCUGGGAUUACAGGCAUGUGCCACCAUGCCCAGCUAAUUUUGUAUUUUUAGUAGAGAUGGGGUUUCUCCAUGUUGGUCAGGGUGGUCUCAAACUCCCAACCUCAGGUGAUCCUCCUGCCUCGGUCUCCCAAAAUGCUGGGAUUACAGUCGUGAGACACCAUGCCUGGCCUGCUUUUAUCUUUUGAAAAUACAACACCCAGGCUGGGCGUGGUGGCUCAUGCUUGUAAUCCCAGCACUUUGGGAGGCCAAGGUGGGUGGAUCACUUGAGGUCAGGAGUUCGAGACCAGCCUGGCCAACAUAAUGAAACCCCGUCUCUACUGAAAACACAAAAAUUAGCUAGGUGUGAUGGUGGGGACCUGUAAUCCCAGCUACUUGGGAGGCUGAGGCAGGAGAAUCGCUUGAACCCAGGAGGCGGAGGUUGCAAUGAGCCGAGAUCCAGCCACUGCACUGCACUCCAGCCUGGGUGACAGGGCAAGACUUGGUCUCAAAAAAAAACCAAAACAAACAAACAAACAAAACACCCAGAUUUAUCCUGAGUGCUGUACACGUUCACGUUCUGGGAUCUUGCAUGUAAUUUCACUCUUGGACUUCCCCUCCUGGACAAACCUCCCUGCAUUUGUUUCAAGGCCAUCUUGAGCUGGAUCGGAAAGGAGUCUUGGGUCAGGGGAUUUAGAAAAAGGUCUGAAAAGAAACAAAGCUGCUUCAGUUCACUUAGUAAGUGUGGUAAUUAGCCUUAGAGUAACAAAUGUUAUCUGCACCAGUGCAGCUCCGUGCCAAGUACCAAAACCACAUUUUCCAGAUGAUUCCAGUGAGUUUUUCACUCGAAGCAAUUCAACAUUAGGCCCUAAAGACGGCAAUCAUCUUGUACAAAACAAGAUUGUUCAUUUCUUCCUUUCAUGCAGCAAGAAUGCAAAAUCCAGAUUAAGAACCAACUGCAGAACCCCUUUCUUUCAUGUCCUCCUAAGCUUCCAGAAUUAUAGGGAGAGACUACUCAAUGUUCAUGAAAAGCAUACUAGCUACAAUAAUUCUGAAAUUGUUUUGGCUUCUGGAAGUACAAGUUUCCAAAUUAAUGUCUGAUAGACCCUAUGGUCGUAAAUGUCUGUGAACAUGUGAGUUUCAGGAAUACAAGGUAAAGAAAGGUUAUCACUAAAACAUGAAAAGAUGGCCAGGCGUGGUGGCUCACGCCUGUAAUCCUAGCACUUUGGGAGGCCGAAGCAGGCAGAUCACUUGAGGUCAAGAGUUUGAGACCAGCCUGGCCAACAGGGCAAAACCCCAUCUCUACUAAAAAUACAAAAAUUAGCCGGGCAUGUAGUAUGCACCUAUAAUCUCAGCUACUCAGGCAGAGGUUGCAGUGAGCUGAGAUGGUGCCACUGCACUCCAGCCUGGGGGACAGAGCGAGACUCCAUCUCAAAAAAAGAAAGAAAGAAAGAAAGAAGUUGUUGAUUAUGGCAAUUAAUCAGGAUAAAGAGGCCAGCCCCCACUCCAGUAAAAAUUAAAAGCCUUAUGUAACUUCCCUGAAGUUCACUAAUACCCAAAUGCAAAUAAUGCUUUUCACUUGCUCCAGGGAGACUACAGAACAGGGUUUGGGGGAGGCCAGUGGGUGAGGGUGGGAGGUGCAAAAUCAACUUCACCUUGCAGAGGAGAAGCAGACACUUGGCCUUGGCUCUAGGAUAAAACUUGGGGUUCCUAAAGGACAGGCUUUUCUCCCUCUUACUGCUUCACUCUUUACUGUCAAAGCUAUAUCUGGGCCAGGCGCAGUGGCUCACACCUGUAAUCCCAGCACUUUGGGAGGCCGAGGCAGGCAGAUCACUAGAGGCCAAGAGUUUGAGACCAGCCCGGCCAACAUGGCAAAAGCCCAUCUCUACCAAAAUACAAAAUACAAAAAAUACAAAAAAUGGCUGAGCACAGUGGCUCAUGCCUAUAAUCCCAGUACUUUGGGAGGCCGAGUAGGUGGAUCACUUGAGGUCAGGAGUUCGAGACCAACCUGGCCAACACGGCAAAACCCCAUCUCUACAAAAAAUACAAAAAUUAGCCAGGCAUGGUGGUGUGUGCCUGUAAUCCCAGCUACUUGGGAUGCUGAGGCAUGAGGAUUGCUUGAACCCAGGAGGCGGAGGUUGCAGUGAGCUGAGAUCGCGCCACUGCACUCCAGCCUGGGCAACAGAGUGAGGCUCUGUCUCAAAAAAAAAAAAAAAAGCUGCAUCUGUUGGUGCAACCAUUUUAUAGGUAUUCUGGGUCUCUAUUUCAAGAAUUUUCACAGGGAAGCAUGAAAAGGACUGGCCAACAGAAAAGGUCUGCCACAGAAUACUCGGUGGCUUCCUAAACUCGAUUAAGGUGACAGCCUGGUCUCUGGGUAGUUUAAAGGACCCCCAGCACUGUUAAGGUGCAGCUGAUUCUUAAGAGACUUUUAAUUUCCCUUCUGCUGCCAAGAGAAGUGAUGCAGCAGAGUCACUAUGCAGCAGUUAAUUCAGCUUUAUCCUGGAGAAAAUAAGAGUGACUUUUUCCUUUUUUAGAUAAGCCCAUGGCAUCGCACAAGCCAAAAUAUGCCACCAGCCCAAGCAACGUGGCAUCAUGCAUGGCAGCCAAAUCUCAUGGAUGGUAUUUGUAGCUUGUGGAGCCUGACUGUACUAGGAGAGGGGUUUCUAAACGAUGACAGAAGGUUGUUCAUUCGUGAUUUGCCAAGUUCUCCACACUCUACUAGCUGGCUGUGGAAAUCAGUUUCUCAGCCCUUUUGAGGAGGACAACUUUGCCAUGCAAGCAGAGAGUGGGUAGUUGCUUCAGUGUUUAUAUAUUGAUCAAUAUAUUCUAGCAAGUCACAUUUAUGACGGUUUCCCACCAAGAACAAACCCCCCCACCAAAACAAUCUCAGCUUAGUGGGAAAUAGUCUCAGGUGUAAAAAUUGCUUUUAGUGGCUGGGUGCGGUGACUCACAACUGUAAUCCCAGCACUUUGGGAGGCUGAGGCGGGUGGAUCACUUGAGGUCAAGAGUUCGAGACCAGCCUCGCCAACAUGACAAAACCCCAUCUCUACUAAAAAUACAAAAAAUUAGCUGGGCAUGGUGGCACAUGCUAUAAGCGCAGCUACUCGGGAGGCUGAGGCAGGAGAAUCGCUUGAACCCAGCGGGUGGAGGUUGCAGUGAGCCAAGGUGGAGCCACUGCACUCCAGCCUGGGAGACAGAACAAGACUGUCUCAAAAAAAAUAAAAAAUAAAAAAAUGUGCUUUUAGUUUGCAAGAGUUGUGUGCCUAGGACUUCCCUUGCCCAGUUCAGCUACUUUUCACUAGUUUGGGAACCUGGAAGAAGGGAGUGGAAAGAUGAAUAAUCUAGAUGCUCACUAUAUUGUUGAGGGUUUUUUUUUUUUUUUUUUUUUGAGACAAGGUCUGUUGCCCAGGCUGGAGUACAGUGGUAUAAUCACAGCUCACUGCAGUCUCGAACUCCUGGGUUCAAGCGAUCCUCCCACCUCAGCCUCCCAAAUAGCUGGGACUACAGGUGUGCAAGACCAUGCCCGGCUAAUCAAAAACUUUUAUUAUUAUUAUUUUUUUUGGUAGAGAUUGGGUCUGGCCAUGUUGCCCAGGCUGGUCUUGAACUCCUGACCUCAAGCAUUCCUCCCACCUCAGCCUCCCAAAGUGGUGGGAUUACAGAUGUGAGCCACCGCACCCAACCAAGGGGCUGAUUUUUACGUUGCUUUUUAAAUCAAGGCCACUUUUUUUUUU
rnacentral:lncRNA from 10 species